UCCAAAUGAGAUCUCGUGGAAACGGAAGCUUGCGGCGGCGGAAAAGUGUUUUCGUGGAUUCCCCUAUUUUUUCUGUAUUUUAGGGAAUAUAUAGGCGAAGGAGCUAGGUCAGGGGGGCGCUAGGGAGGCCACAAGCCUGGUAGCCGCCGCCCCCUGGUGGCGGCUACAGGGCUUGUGGGCCCCCUGUGGCUCUCCUGCCUUGGCCCUCAAGUCCCCUGAUCUUCUUCCGUUCUGGAAAAAUUUAUUUCGGGGAUUUUAUUCCGUUUGGACUCC
rnacentral:lncRNA from 1 species